rnacentral:rRNA from 1 species
GACGAACGCUGGCGGCGUGCUUAACACAUGCAAGUCGAACGGAAAGGCCCUGCUUUUGUGGGUUGCUCGAUUGGCGAACGGGUGAGUAACACGCGAGUAACCUGCCCUUGACUUUGGGAUAACUUCAGGAAACUGGGGCUAAUACCGGAUAGGAGCUCCUGCUGCAUGGUGGGGGUUGGAGAGAUUCGGCGGUUGGGGAUGGACUCGCGGCUUAUCAGCUUGUUGGUGGGGUAGUGGCUGACCAGGGCUUUGACGGGUAGCCGGCCUGAGAGAGUGACCGGCCACAUUGGGACUGAGAUACGGACCAGAAGGCAACGGGAGGCAGCAGUGGGGAAUAUUGCACAAUGGGCGGAAGCCUGAUGCAGCAACGCCGCGUGCGUGAUGACGGCCUUCGGGUUGUAAACCGCUUUCGCCUGUGACGAAGCGUGAGUGACGGUAAUGGGUAAAGAAGCACCGGCUAACUACGUG